UUGUGUCCUUGGGCGACUUAAAUUAUCGAUAUAAAUUGAAUUUCUCAUUCUGUUGAUUGAUGAUUUGAUUUUCAGUAAACCGGUUGCUUUGCUGAUGGCUGUUGGAAGCGUUAAUGAAUAAUUGUUUCGACGAUAGGUGAUACUUGCUUUGAUACUUCGACGACCCGUUCUUCAAGUGCCAGAGCACUGCGGGUCCCAACUUUUCGUUGGCUUUGAUCUAUUGACAGUUGGUAGGACUCCUUGGACGAGUGACAGGUGAUACAGAUUUGAUUAAAACUUCAGUUCGACUUUGAUUUGUGUAUUCUGUGGAAACAAAUUAGAAAUUAUAAUCACAUAUUUAUUUAAGCCGACUACAAUGUUUCUAUUAUUUGGUUCAUUGAAAUAUGAUAAUUUACUUGAAUCUAGUGUUACAAUCGACGAAUUACGUAAGCCCGCGUAUUAAAUUUUAAGGUUAGGAACUAUUGUGAUCAAGUUACUUAAUGGCAAUGGACAUUUUUGAAUCCAUUGCUGAAAAUUGUGUGAUAACCUAACCACUUCAUAAAUUAACGAGUAGCCAUGUUGUGUUAAUUGAAGAUUGCGGAUGAACUGGUGAAAAUUGAUCGUGGUUAAUACAAACUACGGAAUUAAAAUUCAAGAGUGUGUGAUGGUUUUACAGCCGUGCGAAACAACUGAGCUGAUGAUCGUUCGACCCACCGAUCAGGAAGAACCAAGAACGUUUUUGGCUCAAAAGUCGACAAGCGGUGAAAGGGUGUAUUCGGUCCACCCAUGCUGAGGAAUUAAGUGUUCUGUACUGAUGACGCCAAUUUGCAGACCUUCGAGAUUUUUUGUUCCCAGAUUUCUAUUGAGAUAAUUCGGCAAUGAAUGGAUUUUUAAGACUUCCGAGGCAUGCAGAUCACCGUUCCUAUGGGCGCAUGCUAUGUACAAGUACUACUUUGUCAAUAAGUCAGUGGUCCCCCAAGAAGGCUACACUUGCAGUUACCAGAGAUGAUCAGGCCAAGACUGAGGCAAUCCUUAAUGAAGCCUAGUCUAAGAUAAACAUGAAUGCACAAAAUUCAGAUCAGAGCUGGAUAUCAGUUAAAGCCUGGAAAGAAGUUCUUACUCUAGAAAAUAUUCCUGCUUUUGCUCAAUUUGUGGUUUGACUUCAUGAGGAAUCCAAGCACUUACAAGAGACAUGUUUAGUACAAUAAACCUCACAGGUGCUAGAUGUAUCUUCUAAGAAACGACCAGCUGAUGUCUGCUGCAUAUGUCGACCGACCCUCGAGGAGCUCAGUGGAGCAGUUCUCAGAAAAUCCAAAGCAAAACAACUUCAUGCUGGCAACAGAUUCAAAAUAGUGGAAUUAACAGUUCAGGAUUCCAGGUUGGGGGUUGGUCGCAAGGCCAACAACCUUGCACCG